UAGUAUUCUAUUGCCAGCGCUUAGUUGCGCGGCGAUAAACCUUCUACACACACUGUUUAUAUUUUAUGAACUUUCUGCUUUGGGGGAGAGUAUAAAAUCUCUUUCCCAGAGGAUUUAAACACAGAGAUUUUACUAUCUUUUUUAAAACUUAUAGUCAUGAAAAUUUUUACCAAAAUUAAAAUAUUCA
rnacentral:rRNA from 1 species